GGCACCAUGGUCUAGCUGGUUAAGACAUCUAUAACAAGUUAUCAAAAGGAAAUAUCAUCAUUGUUUAUGGAAGGCAAGGGUUUGAAUCCCUCUGGUGUCA
rnacentral:tRNA from 2 species